GAUGAACGCUGGCGGCGUGCCUAAUACAUGCAAGUCGAGCGAACGGACGAGAAGCUUGCUUCUCUGAUGUUAGCGGCGGACGGGUGAGUAACACGUGGAUAACCUACCUAUAAGACUGGGAUAACUUCGGGAAACCGGAGCUAAUACCGGAUAAUAUUUUGAACCGCAUGGUUCAAAAGUGAAAGACGGUCUUGCUGUCACUUAUAGAUGGAUCCGCGCUGCAUUAGCUAGUUGGUAAGGUAACGGCUUACCAAGGCAACGAUGCAUAGCCAACCUGAGAGGGUGAACAGACACACUAGAGCUGAGACAAGGUCCAGAAUACAACGGGAGACAGAAGUAGGGAAUAUUCCGCAUUGGGCUAAAGCCAGAAGGAGCAACGCCAAGUGAGUCAUGAGGGUCUUCAGAUCGUAGAACACUGUUAUUAGGGAAGAACAUAUGUGUAAGAAACGGCUGUUAUCUAGAAGGUACCUAAUCAGAAAGCCACGGCUAACUACGUG
rnacentral:rRNA from 1 species